rnacentral:tRNA from 2 species
AAAGAAUUAGUUAAAUCAUAACAUUUAAAUGUCAUUUAAAAAUUAUUUUUUUGUAAAUAAAUAUUCUUUU